AAGGUGCCAAACGGGUAUCUCUGAUGGAAAAUAAAAUUGAAAGCCUAUCGGAAAUUCCCACGUGUCCGCGUCUCGUAACUUUACUGCUGGAUGAAAAUCGGAUUGAGGAGAUCACUGAUGGCUUCUUUCAAUCUAUGUCGUCUCUUAGAGUAUUAAGUCUAAGAGGAAAUUUUCCCCUAAGUACACUACCUUCGGGGAUUUCAGGUUUGGUUUCAUUGCAUCAUCUUGAUCUAUCAUCGACUCACAUAACUGGGUUGCCGCAAGAGCUGAAGGCGUUGGAGAAGUUGAGAUAUUUGAACUUGGACUAUACAGAGUACUUGUCCAUAAUUCCACAUCAAUUGAUAUCUGGCUUUUCAAAGUUGGAGGAACUCAGGUUGUUUGCGUCCGGUCGCUGGGGCGUAAUAGAGGAAGAAGAAGGUAACGUUCUAUGUGAUGAUGCUGAACCUUUGAUGAAGGAAUUGCUGGGUUUGAAGCAUUUAAAUGUUUUAAGCUGGUCCUUCCGAAGUUCACUUGCUGUCCAAAAGUUUUUGAAAUAUCCAAAGCUGGUUAGCAUCACUCAAUCUGUAUGGGUUGAAUGUGGCAUGUAUACAAGGCCACCGUUCAAUGUCUUACAUCUAGCAUAUAUGGAGAAUCUUCAGGAGUUGCGUCUUUCUCAGAGUGAUUUGGAGGAGAUGAAGAUUGACAGCACAGAAGAGGUGAAGAAGCUUUUUCAAAGUGGUUUCCGCAGUCUCGACACAGUUGAUCUAUUUUAUUGCCAAAAAGCGAAGGACUUAACGUGGCUUGUUUUUGUUCAAAACCUCAAGGAGCUGCGUAUAGUGUAUUGUGAAUACGUGGAAGAAAUUAUCGGGGCUGAUAAAUUGAGAGAUAUUUCAGAGAUAGUGGGGUCAGAGCAUAACGUUUUCGCAGAACUCGAAUUUCUAUCCUUAUGGGGGGGAAUAAAUUUAAAGAGCGUUUACCCGAAUCCCCUGCCCUUUCCAAAGUUGAAGAAAAUUCAAGUACUUCAUUGCCGACAGCUGAAGAAGCUCCCACUCAAUUCCAGCAGCGCGAAGUUACGUCGAGCUGUCAUCGAGGGAACGAAAAAGUGGUGGGAAGAGCUACAAUGGGAGGAUCAAGCCACCCAAAAUGCUUUCUCUUCCGGUGCCGUACUUACUGAGUUUCCUUUUUAUUAAUAUGUUUUAAUAUGUAUUUCUUUUUCUUUUCUUUUUUUAAUUUUCAUUAGAUUUAAUUGCAUCUUGUUCUUGUUGUCUGGUGUGUCAAUCGUUCCCUACUUUCAGUUAAUAAAAUUUCAGCAGUGGAUUCUUGGUUUAUUAAUGUUUAUAUAACUGAAUUGUUCAGCAGAUGUACUCUGCACGACUAACACAGAAAUAAACACAGAAAUAAAUAUAUGUAAGGGGUUACAGGACUGACUCUGCUUCUGGCUUCUAAGGAGAAAGAGGGGAAAAUAAACAUUUUAUCUUCCCUUAACUGCUCUCCUUUGGUUUGAAUGUGAACUUAACACUCUUUUAUUAUUAAAAUUUAAUUAUUUGGUUGUAUAAUAUAUUUCUCCAAUAAACGAAGAAUGAUAAAGGAGCAACUAAAAAAACCCAUCAAAAUAUUUCACCAAUGAAAAGAUUCAUGAGAAAUAAACAUUAUAAUCCGAACAAAUAAAUCAAUUAGUCAAUAUAUCAUUUAGCCGAAUUAAAGACGCUGCUUGCGCUUCGUAGUUCUGAGCUUAGAAUCAAGUAGAGAACUGAAUAUGAAAUUUUUAAUUGCUGAGAAUAUGAAUUUGAGGUUGAUGGACGACUUGAAAGAGAGGGACAAGAAAGAAUGAUACAGAGCAGGUGGCUGGCAAAAGGGACCUUAUGACGAUCUUCUUCAGUACAGCUAUGAUGCCGCUUCCACCUUCAAUUGAAUGUCAGAAAAUUCAAAGUUUGUCAAAAGAGGAUGGUAAAUUAAGCUGUUUUUUUUUUUUCUUUUUUGCAAAAUUUACCAAGUGAAUUAAUCCAUUAUUUUAUCUAUCAAUCAGUACACAAUCUACAUUACCCCACGCUAACAAAACACUGACUAUAAAUCUAUGACUAUACAAUGCGCACUUUGGUUACUGCCCCAGCCCUCUUACCCAAAAGAACCACAAAAGCAACGAAAAACUAAAUUGAUUACAUAAUCAAAUCAAGUUCUUCUUAGCUACUGUGAUCGAUUUGUCCAGCACCAUCAGUUAAUUUCUCUAGUUUUCAGCAAAAAUGGUCGAGUUCUUGAGUCUUCUUUGCACGUUUCAUCUCAUUUAUUCUGUCGAUAAAGCUUAUACACAUCAUCCGCAACGACAACAAAUUAAAUUAAUAUGUGUCGAGUUUUGGAGCCAGAGCCAGCGGUGCAAGCGCAAGAGAAAGGGACUUCACACAAGAAUUUGCCAGACCAUGGGCUACAGAAAGGUGCCUCACUUCACGGACGCGGAAUUUGGUUGGCUCCUGGGCCAUUAAGGGUGAAUGCAUCUUUCUUUUUAUGUGAAUUUAAUUAUUGAACCCGGUAUCUUGAAUAAAUAUAAAUUUGACUGUAGCACCAAGUAUCAAUGAUUGCAAAAUGUAAAUUUGACAUAUUGUGUGGUUAAAUCAUCUUGUACUAAUCGUUUAUGUUAAUUUAUGGAGGCCUUAAUGUCCAAGGCAUACGUAAAGGGGUACAGGACUGACUCUGCUUCUGGCUUCUAAGGAGAAUGAGGGGAAAAUUUUAUAAACAUUUGUGGAGUGGCCGUAUAAAGGACGUGUGGUUCUCAAUCCAUUUCACAUUUGGCAUUGUAAUGUUUAUGGACUCAUAUAAAUGAUGUCACACAAAUAGUUAAACGAAGAAGGUGUUUGAUGAAAACGAAAGGGCCUUUUUCUUUUUUUAAAUCCCGCUAAAGGUUAUAAUUAACAACAAAUUAAUAAUAGAAGAGAGAGAAAUACCAAGUUCAAUACGGUAAUAUUUUAUCUUCCUUUUAACUGCUCUCCUUUGGCUUAUAAUGCGACCUUUACACUCGUGGACAAAAUUGUAUUUGUCGCUUAAGUCUUGCUUGUUUUAAAAUGCUGGCAUAUUUAUGGAGUGGGAACCCAGAUGCUGAACUCAUAGUAAAUAUUUAUUUAAUUUGUUAGAAUUAUUUUUGGUGGGAUAAUUUUAAAUAUUAAUUUAACAAGAUAGUGAUGUUUGCCUUGCCCUACAUGGAAAAAAUAAUAAUAAUUAAAGUUUUUUCUGUUCCUUUAUAUUAGUAAUAGAUUUCAGAUGGGAAACAGAAAAUUUAUUUCUGUUUCAAUAAUUACCAUAUCACUGUGUGCGUGCGUGAUCACAUAAUUUUGUACUACCGUCUGUGGAAUAACUUUAGGAAAAGAAAAUUAAUUUUUUUUAAGUAACAAUAAAUAUUUUAAAUUGUUUUCUUCUCUUAUCAAUUGUUUUUUUCUCCUAUCUUCCAAUGAAAGUGCAGGACCUCAAUUAUUUUAAUAGAGAUGUAGUAAUAAAUUAUUAGGGGAUCCAUAAAAUAAAUAUACAUGGUUUCAAAAAAGUUAGCACAUGCUUGUUACAAAUAUAAAAAAUUAUCUUAAAAGUCUCGGAACUUUUGUGUUCUCUUUAAUAUUUUUUUCUUAUGUUGUUAUUGUACUAUAUGGAUACAAGGGUGCGUUUGGUACGUUGUAUUAUAUUAUGUUGUAUUGCAUUAUUUUAAUAUAGGUAUAUUACAUUAUGUUGUGUUGUAUUAGUAAUGUAUUAUAAUAAUGUUGUACAAUGUUUGGUACUAUACUGUAUUGUAUUAAUUUUUAAUUAAUAUUAUUCAAAUGUAUUCAUAUUUAAAUAUUUAUUAUUAGUUAUAUUAAAUUAUUUAAAAAUAACUAGUUUAAUUAUUUUAAUAUAAUUAAAUAAUAUUAUAAUAUAUUAUAUUAUUUAAGUAUUUAUUAUUAGUUAUAUUAACUUAUUAAAAAUUAAUCAAUUAUAUAUAUUAAUUAAUAUAAUUUUACAUAUUAAUUAAUAUAAUAUAAUUAAAUAAUACAUUUUUUAGUUGUACAUUUACUAUAAUAAAAAUUAAAAUAUAAUAUAAUAUUAAAUUAAAAAUUAUAUUCAUUUAUUAUUAUUACAAAGUAUAAAAAAAAAAAAAAAAGGAAGCUAAAGCUAAUGCGGUAACUGGACACAUUAGCUAAACCCGACUAUAACAUAUGUCGGGUUUAGCUAAUACAACCAUUUGGUACCUCAGACAUGGUGCUGCAUUGCUAAUGCAAUGUAAUCCCAGGUAAAGAGGGGUACCAGACAACCCCCAAGUUCACUUAAUGUAACAUAACAUACUUUUUUUUUCUAUAUAUAUAUAUACACUACGUGGAAGUGAGCUCCUUAAGGUGAGAUUUAGCAAAAUUAUAAAUUAUUACAGCAUGAAAUUUAUUUUUAUUUAUAAUUGGCCUAAUAUAAAUUAGGACCAGUACUUUUAUAGCUAUAUGAAAUUAUUUUUAUAUAAAAUAUCACUACAUAAAUGUUUUAUUACAAUAUUAAUCUCUUUUUUUUAUUGUAUUUAUCUCUUCAUAAUCUUUUCCUUUUUAUAAAAAAAAAAAAUCAACUAAAAGAUUCAUCAACAUCUCAUUCCAACAAUCUACUAGCGAAAAUGAGUGUCCAUGCUUUUGAACCAAGGCCCGAUAUGUGAGGGAGAGAUUGUUGGGUUGUCUUACAUCGGUUGUGAACUAGGAUGGUGGUGAUUUUACAAGUGUGAGGGAAAGUCUCACCCCUUAUCCAUCUUUUGGGUUGGGAUUGAAUGAGACCCAAAACCGCUUAACAUGAAUUCUAUCACUGGGAUUUUUACCCAGUAUAACAAACAUAACAACACAAUGAAUUAUCAAUUUAUCACGUAAUGGCUCUAACUUUAGCGAUGAUCACCUUACAUGAACAUGAAAAUUAAUCCCAUUGUUUAACUCAACAAUGACGAUAAUCACUUAAACUCUUAUGCACCAAAGGAUAUACUCGCUACAGGGAAUCUUAACUCAUAAAGAUUAAUUUUAGUGGGGGGCAAAAGAGCACGAGUGAUCCAAACCACUAAACAACAUCAUAACCAACACAAAAUUUAUACUAAACAAACCAUUACCAAAACAGCAAAGCUAGACAUAAAUUUGAACAGAUACACAAGCUACAUUCAUUACCAUAAUGUAUCGACUAAAUUUCCAAGCUCUACAUUUUGAACAAAGAAUUUAUAAAAUUACAUAAUCUAAUAAAUUAAUAUAGAAAUAAAAUUGGCAUCAGAUCAAAUUACUAUUAAUGUACCUUGCAUAAACCAUUCUCUUCUAUCGGCAUUCACCUCCGCGCUCGAUUGGCUCUCCUGUGCUGCUUGUCUAAUUGAUUCAAAUCCACAUAGACAAAUUUAAGCAUAUUAAGUUUUCAAACUCAAAUCAACAGCUUUAAAAGUUACUUCACAAACAAUGAAUUUCAUUUUCGAAAUACAAAGAAUCCGUUCAGUUUAAAACAAUAAAAAAUCGUCUACGACUACUCAACUCAUGUAUGAUAACUAAAAAACGAAGGAUACCCACAAAAAUUAAAGAUAAAUUACCAAAAACCCAAAAAACUCAAGCCAAAAUUGCCAAAAAAAAAGCGAGAGAAUGGAAAUUGGCGUACCAGGGGCAGGAGAGAGGAAACGAGAAGAGGAAGAAAGAAGGGUUUUGGAGAGAGUGGGAAUUAGUGGAGGCAAAAAUGGAGAGUUUUGAGAGUGAGAUGAUUGGUGGGGUGGUGAUGGCGGUGGUGGGGUUAAUGUUCUGGAGGGUAUGCUGAAGAGAGGUCGCAAGAGAACCUCCAUAGCCUUUAAAGAGAGUUGAGUUGCUGCUUUCUUUUGCCGUGGAUGGAGAGAGAUUAAGGGAUUAGAAUUCUGUAUUGAAUUAAUUUUUUAUUAAAUAAAAAAUUAUUGUUAAAAUUUAUUUUAUUUUAAUUUUUUAUCUAGCUAUCAUUGACUUAAUAUUUUGAAUCUUUAUCCAAAGUUAAGGCACAAAAUUUUUAUUCUAAAUAAAUAUUCUCAAUAUAAAUAUAUCACUUAAAUAAUAAUGAUAAGAUUUAAUAUUAAUUCUGUCAUUACUGAAAGAAUUACAAAUUUUAUAUGACGUGCAAACGUAUCAUUAUAUUCUUGAUAUUUGAAACAUGAAUAAAGCAACAAAUGUAUCAUAUUUUUAUUUUGGUGUUGUGGUUCUCUAAAAAUUGUUGAAAGCAGCAGCUGUGAAGAGUCAACGGUUGACCUUGAUUCUGUGAGUUGGAUUUGUUGAGCUGGCAAAACUGUUAUGUUGAAGAAUAGCAGCGCAUGUGCAUUGAAUAGUUGCAUCUUCUAGAAGCUUAAUGUGAUUGGUUCACAAUUGCUAUAUUCACGGAUCAAUUUUGAUUACUUCCGUGUAAUACCCCUUAGGCUAGCUGUCAUUAUUUUUUGUCUCUGUAUGUAAACUAGCAAAGCUCUGUAUUUCAUUUUCAUUCAAGUCAUCAUUAUCAAUAAAGACCUGAUUCUCAUACUCUGUUUGCAUUUGACAGCAAUUCUUAAGAAUUUAAGUAAAAAUUAGCUUAAUUCUUUUCAUUGUACUCGUUGCUUCUCUUCCUCUUUUCGCCAACGACAAUGGGUAACCUAAUCUCAACCUUCUUACCAGCAGACUUAUUUGAUCGAACUUCAAACUGCGUUGGUGAACAAGCAAAUUAUGUAUGGGGUCUCGAAAAAAACCUUCGGGUCUUGGAGACUGAAUUGCACAAAUUGACUCGAGCAAGGGACGAUCUGAAGACCAAGGUUGAGGUCGAAGAACAGCGACGUCGAACCAGACGAACGAACCAGGUCGCAGGGUGGCUUGAAGAUGUGCAAAAACUGGAAACUGAAUUUACCGAGCUGGAACGAGUUAGAGCUCAUGAAAUCGAUAGAUUGUGCCUUGGAGGCCUCUGUUCCAAAAACUUCGUUUCAAGCUACAAUUACGGGACUCAGGUGGUCGAGUUGACGGAUCGAGUGAUCAAUUUAAAGAAAGACGGAGAAAAAAUUGAAGUCGUUGUUGAGAAGGCGCCAGAUGGUGCAGCAAUUGAAUUACCUCUUGAUCACACAGUUGUUGGUCAAGAACUAUUACUUGAUCAAGUUUGGAGAUGUAUCACUGAUCAGGAAAAUAAUAGGGAAAUUAUCGGCCUGUAUGGUAUCGGGGGAGCCGGCAAAACUACCCUUUUAAAACAAGUCAACAACAACUUCUGCCAUCAACAGCAUAAUUUUGAUGUUGUUAUCUGGGCGGCUGCGUCAACACUUCAAGAUGACAUUGGAAAAAGGAUUGGCUUUUCAGAAGACCAAAGCUGGGAGAAAAAAAGUCCUCAAGACAAGGCUGUGGACAUCGCUAGCAUUUUAAGCAGAAGGAAGUUUGUGUUGUUAUUGGAUGAUAUAUGGAAACCCAUUCAUUUAACAGAAUUGGGUGUCCCUCUUCAAAAACUAAAUGAUGGGUCCAAAGUAGUCUUGACAACUCGUUCAGCUGGUGUUUGCGAUCAAAUGGACGCUGAAAAGGUGGAAGUGUAUAGUUUGGCGCAUGAUAAAGCCUGGGAAUUAUUUCAGGAGAUGGUCGACAGAUCCACUCUUGACAGUCAUACCGGUAUUCCAGAGCUAGCCGAAACCUUGGCAAGAGAGUGUGGUGGGUUGCCGCUAGCGCUUAAAACAGUGGGUCGAGCCAUGAAAAGCCAAAGGAAAGUUGGAGAUUGGAAACGUGCAAUUCACAAAAUGAGAACAUCAGCUUCUAAAUUCUCAGGUAUGAAAGAAGAGGUGUUUUCGCGUUUAAAGUUCAGCUAUGAUAGUUUGUCUACGGAUGAACUUCGUUCCUGUCUCCUGUAUUGUUGUUUAUAUCCUGAAGACUACGAAAUUCCUAAAAGGGAAUUGAUUGAUUAUUGGAUUAGUGAAGGAUUUGUAUAUGAUUUUGAUGAUGGAUGUGAUUUUAUUGAUGACCUUCUUCAAGCAUGCUUAUUGGAGGAAGAAGGCGAUGAUCAUGUAAAGAUGCACGAUAUGAUUCGUGAGAUGUCAUUAUGGAUAGCGUGCACGGUAGACAAGGAGGAGGAGAACUUUCUGGUUCGCGCUGGAGUUGAAUUGACCGAAGCACCAAAGUUUGAAGAAUGGGAAGGUGCCAAACGGGUAUCUCUGAUGGGAAAUGGAAUUAGGAGCUUAUCGGAAAUUCCCACGUGUCCGCGCCUCUUAACUUUACUUCUGGGUGGAAAUCGGAUUGAGGAGAUUACUGAUGGCUUCUUUCAAUCGAUGUCUUCUCUUAGAGUAUUAAGUCUAAGAGGAAAUUUUCCCCUAAGAACACUACCUUCAGGGAUUUCAGGUUUGGUUUCAUUACAUCAUCUUGAUCUAUCAUCGACUAACAUAACUGGGUUGCCGCAAGAGCUGAAGGCGUUGGAGAAGUUGAGAUAUUUGAACUUGGACUAUACACGGUUUUUGU
rnacentral:lncRNA from 1 species